rnacentral:lncRNA from 1 species
UGCUAAAAGAAUGCAUGAGAUGCUAAGUAUGGACUAUUUUGGAUAAUGACUAUAUGUAUGUUGACAUAUCAUGUGAUGCUAGUGGUAUAUGUGCAUGAUGAUAUAUUAUGAAUUUACAUAUUGUGGAUUAUGUUAAAUAGAAAAACAUACUUGAUGACAUAUUGCCAUGUGGUGGAACAUAGUGGACAAUCUACAUAUAUAUUAGAUCGAGUGGCAUUAAACCUUGUAUCUUGAACCUAGCAAACACUUGUGGUGAUUGAGCAUGUAUAUUCUGGUGUCAUUCAUGUAUGUUAGGACCCUAUUAUUGUGUGAAUGUGAGAGUCGGACUUGGACAAUAGUAAACAAGGGUGACAAUGAAAAUAGAGACAUGAUUGGCAUCAAGAAAGUGGUUGUUAAAUAUAGUUUAACCAUAUUGACAUUGGUCCAAGUUGACAUAGAGAGUGGCAUGAUUAAAUAGGUAGAGACCUAUCAUGACAUUGGCAUUGUGACGAGUGGCUAUGAAUCCUCAAGUUGAGGAUUGGAUCGAUACUCACGUUACGUCUUGGCUUGAGGGAGGUAGCUCCCCCUCGGGCGGUGCGCUCCGGAGUUGGUCACCACUGGGCGUGGUAAAGUCCCCCCAGAUGACGGU